rnacentral:rRNA from 1 species
CCUACGGGAGGCAGCAGUAGGGAAUCUUCCACAAUGGGCGAAAGCCUGAUGGAGCAACGCCGCGUGGGUGAAGAAGGUCUUCGGAUCGUAAAACCCUGUUGUUAGAGAAGAAAGUGCGUGAGAGUAACUGUUCACGUGUCGACGGUAUCUAACCAGAAAGCCACGGCUAACUACGUGCCAGCAGCCGCGGUAAUACGUAGGUGGCAAGCGUUAUCCGGAUUUAUUGGGCGUAAAGGGAACGCAGGCGGUCUUUUAAGUCUGAUGUGAAAGCCUUCGGCUUAACCGGAGUAGUGCAUUGGAAACUGGGAGACUUGAGUGCAGAAGAGGAGAGUGAAACUCCAUGUGUAGCGGUGAAAUGCGUAGAUAUAUGGAAGAACACCAGUGGCGAAAGCGGCUCUCUGGUCUGUAACUGACGCUGAGGUUCGAAAGCGUGGGUAGCAAACAGGAUUAGAUACCCGAGUAGUC